rnacentral:tRNA from 1 species
CGGUGUAGCUCAGCUGGCUAGAGCAGCUGAUUUGUAAUCAGCAGGUCGUGGGUUCGAGUCCCUCUAUCGG